AGUCCAAAAGGCCUUUGCGACCGUUCAACCCAAUUUCGUCUUUAUAGAUGGGGAGACUGAGUCCUCCCCAACGGAGGAGAAUCCCAGGACGUCGCCAAAUCUGCAAAUCAAGCGGUCUGGGACGAGGCGAUUGAGCUCACCAGCCAGCAGCAGCGAGGCGGCGAGGGGACAAAGUGCUGCGCGAGUCAGAAGAGGGCGAAUGCGAGGGCACGGAGCUAAACGGGACCCAGGAUCGCUAUGGUUUGGAUGCGAAAUGUCACCCACGGACUUGUGUUUCGCACACUUGAUCUCCAGCUGGUCGCACUGUUUGGGCAGACUCAGCCUCUCUCAAGCACUUGGCCCAGAUGUCCAACAGAAUCCUAGCUGUUUCUACCAGAAUGGCCCACAAACUUUUUAAAGUAGCACGUCCCAAGUUGGAUGGAUCCUCCAGCUUGUUCUCCUCAUCUUCCUCAUCUGGGCAAAUGGCUGCACUGGCCUCUGUCAGACACCGAGGUGUCACCUUUAAGCUUUCCCAGCCCUAGCCUACCUCCAGCCAGCGACUGGUCUGCUAGUCUUGAGUCCUGUCUCCUCACACACGCCUGUCCCAGCACAGCAAUGCAGCUGUAACAGCUGUAGCAGCUGUAGCAGCUGUAGCAGCUACUUCCUUCCCAGGCUGCCACCUGUUCCCUGCUCUUCCCUAACCCCCCAUUCCAGUCAGUGUGGUCCUUCCCAAACACAAGUCACAUCCCUGCUUAUCAGCUCCUUCCUCACCCCGCAGUGACCCAGUGUCCCAAAUUGGCAGUCAAGGCUCACCUUCACCUUCCUCCUGUUUCUUUUCCUUUUUCCCAAUCAGCUGAAUAAUAAUAAUAGUAAUAAUAAAACAUAGACAUGAACUGGGGACUUGGCUCAGUGAUUAAGAGUACUUGCUGCUCUUCCAAAGGACCCAAAUUCAGUUCCCAGUGGCCACUUGGUGGUUCACAACUGCCUGCAACUUCAACUCCAGGAAAUACAGUGCAUUCAUGUUUCCCUCCACAUCUCUCCACACCCCCAAGGACACAUAAAUUAAAAAAAAAAAAUGAAAAGAACAGAGUAAUGCCAUAUGCCCUUUACCAGUGUCCCCAACAACAACAUCCUGCAAGAAGAAAGGGCAGGUCACCAGCACGAAGGCAGUUUCCCUUAUUUUGUUCUUGUG